GGGUGUUUAGCUCAGUUGGGAGAGCGCCUGCCUUACAAGCAGGAUGUCGGGGGUUCAAGUCCCUCAACGCCCA
rnacentral:tRNA from 3 species